AUAAUAAGCCUUGCAAUGUCUAGCAUAUAGGUAAAAGAGCAAAAUACCUUCUCUUAAAGGCCAGCAGUUAGAAGACACUGAUGGAUAGAUCUAUUUUAAUCUCCAGGGAAUCUCCUUAGUCAUAUCAUCUUCAUGUUUUGAAAUGGAUGCACAUGGAAAAAUUCUUCUCUGUUGUUCCAAAACAUUUGAUUAAAUUAGAUCAUCUGUUUCCUCUAUGGCAUGUAUGCAAAUGUGAAGAGAUGAGUGAAUGUGAAUAUGGUGACACUGUUGCUCUGAACAAAAUGGAGAAGCCGCAAUGCAUGAUGUGGGGAAGUUACCUGGCAAGCGAAGCGAGGAUUUCAAGUCUGUUGACGGAGAUGGCGCAUCUUGAAGAAAACAAGAUGUAGCUGCCAAAAACCUUAUCGAGGAACAGAGAACGUACAGGUUCUAACAGUGAUGAGUUACUGUAUGUUUGGAUGACCGUCCAGGAUGUUUGAAAUUUGGACUGAUAAGAGAUGGAAUGUGGAAAACAACCCAGUUUAUGCUGAAGGAGAAACUCCUGGACAAAACCCAAAAGGCGGUGGUCAGUGGAAAGGCAGAAAGGUUUAAAAGAGAGACUUUUGAAAGCAGUGACUUGGUGAUCCUGAAUCAGCGGCAUCAGAUCUCCCAUGGCUUCAUGAAGGCACCUGAUCAAUGACUUCAGUGACAGCCACUCUUGUAUGCGUUCUUUUUCCGCUGACGCAAAGCUGAAUGGUUUGGCAGCUGCGGCUCCCCUCUGGCGGAAAAAAGGCCUCCACCAGCCCGGACCAUUUUACAGGUCAGCACACAAGUUCAGGAGAGGAUGUUCACACUCCUGAAAGGUUUGGAACUGCACACAACUCUGCAAUUGGUAAUACUUCAGGACAAUAUACCCAUGAUGCACUUUGGGAAAAUAUCUUACACCAAAGGAAGGCAAAAAUCCAGCCAAAGAAGUAUUUUUCUUCCCAACUCUCA